rnacentral:rRNA from 1 species
UACGAAGGGGGCUAGCGUUGUUCGGAAUUACUGGGCGUAAAGCGCGCGCAGGCGGUCCUUUAAGUCGGGGGUGAAAGCCCAGAGCUCAACUCUGGAACUGCCUUCGAAACUAGAGGACUUGGGUACGGGAGAGGUGAGUGGAAUUCCGAGUGUAGAGGUGAAAUUCGUAGAUAUUCGGAAGAACACCAGUGGCGAAGGCGGCUCACUGGCCCGGUACUGACGCUGAGGUGCGAAAGCGUGGGGAGCAAACAGG